GAUGAAGAACGUAGCGAAAUGCGAUAAGUAAUGUGAAUUGCAGAUUUCAGUGAAUCAUCGAAUCUUUGAACGCACAUUGCGCCCGCCAGUAUUCUGGCGGGCAUGCCUGUUCGAGCGUCAUUUCAACCAUCAAGCCCCCGGCUUGUGUUGGGGACCUGCGGCUGCCGCAGGCCCUGAAAAGCAGUGGCGGGCUCGCUGUCACACCGAGCGUAGUAGCAUACAUCUCGCUCUGGGCGUGCUGCGGGUUCCGGCCGUUAAACCACCUUCAUAACCCAAGGUUGACCUCGGAUCAGGUAGGAAGACCCGCUGAACUUAAGCAUAUCAAUAAGCGGAGGA
rnacentral:misc_RNA from 1 species